AUGGCUUCGUCGGAGAAGCGCCGGGCGAGCACCUCGCCGUCGGCCACCGCCCUCGCCUCCACCACCACCACCACCACCUCAGCCUCUUCGUCCACAAACCCCACCUCGUCGUCGCCUUACUUCCUGCCGUUGGUCGCGAGCCGCCUGACGAACCUCCAGGACUUCUUCGCCCUCCGCGCCGCCUGCCGCACCUACCGGGAUCUCAUCCCGCCGUCGCCGGCCAACCUCGCCUCCCAGGCUCCGCUCCUCCUCUUCCCCCGCAUGGCCUCUGCCUCGGGAGCCCUGUUUCACGUCCCCCUCCGCCGCAUCCUCCGCUUCCGCCUCCCCUGCACCCGCCUAGGUCGCCCCACCAAAUUCCACUCCUUCGGCUUCCGCGUUUCCACCCAGGACCGCGCCGGCUAUGACACCUGCCGCGAGCUCCGUAUCCGCCACCUCCUCACAGGCGAGCGAGCCCGCCUGCCUGAUCUCCCGAGACCGAGAGACUCUGAAGAAGUCGUCUUUUCCGGCGACCUCGUUGUCACCUUCAGGAAAUGCUGCUGCGUCCUCUACUACUGCCACAUUGGGGAUGAUCACUGGCAGGCAGUGUACUGCGAUGUAGGCCACCUGCCUUACGAUCUGAUGUUCGUGAAAGGCACCCUCUAUGCGCUGAUUUACAAUUACUCACAUUACCGCCUCGCUGUCGUCAAGCUUGGCAAGAAUUCUGCGGUAUUGUCGUUUCUUGGAGAUAAAUUGAGUGUGCCGGAAGUUAACUGUCCAAGGUUCUGGCUAGCAGAGCGUCGUCGUGAGUUAUUGCUCAUUGUCGAGGUGGAGUUCGAUCCAUGUGUGUACCAUGUUUUCUAUCUGCACUCUGGGAAGAAGAAGUGGGAGAGGACUACUAGCCUUGGUGGUUGCAGCUUGUUCUUUAAUUUGCAUGAGUUUGCCGGUUGCCUUGGUCCAGAUCAUCCGGCAGUUCGAAGGGACUGCUUGUACUUCACUGGGUGCUCUGGGAAGUGGAGCGAGUAUUCUUUGGCUGAUGGGUCUUAUCAUGAAUUCGUUAUCGACCACCCAGGGCGAACUGAGGAUUAUGGAUCUCCGGUUUGGGUCCUUCCAAGCAUUUGCUGA
rnacentral:rRNA from 1 species